CACGUAGGGUGUGAGCGUUGUCCGGAAUUAUUGGGCGUAAAGAGCUCGUAGGCGGUGUGUCGCGUCGGCCGUGAAAACCUGCAGCUUAACUGUGGGCUUGCGGUCGAUACGGGCAUCACUGGAGUUCGGCAGGGGAGACUGGAAUUCCUGGUGUAGCGGUGAAAUGCGCAGAUAUCAGGAGGAACACCGGUGGCGAAGGCGGGUCUCUGGGCCGAUACUGACGCUGAGGAGCGAAAGCGUGGGGAGCGAACAGG
rnacentral:rRNA from 1 species